UAUGUUGAUUAUCAAAGUAUUUUUCAUUUUCGCUGUCGUAUAAUUUUAUUCCUUAUUCCGCCGAACUAAUUGUUGUGGUUUGUUAUUAGCAGCUGUUCUGUCGUUUAAUAACUUUAUAAAUAAUAAUGUAUAUUUGUAUAAUAAAUACUAAUCUAUGUUCGUUGUUGACGUUGUUGUUUAUUAACUAUUCUGCACUAAGAUUUGAAUAAGCAAACUUUUAUUAAUAAUCGUUUGGAUAAUUUAUUAUUGUUAUUAUUUUUCAGUUGCAUUUUGUUUAAUUGUUUCAAUAGUGAAGACCCGUUACAACAUAAGCUGUUCACUAAUACGCAGUAUAUGAUGAUAACCAAUACUAAAUAAAUCCGACGAGGAGAACUGUUUGAGACACAUGAUCAUACCAUGACACUUGGUUGAGAAAUUACACAGUCAGACAUUGAAUGAACCCAAAUGGGAAAGUCUUGGCAUUGAAAUGGAGAGCGGCUGCCGGCUGGGUGAAUUUCAAUAUAGUGAUAUAUUUUUGAUAUUACCUAAUCAUAUUUUCUAACAAAAGGGUAUUCUAUUCGUAAGAGGAUGUUGGUCUUCCAUUAAAAGAAAAAGAGAUAUGAUAGAUUAUAUCUCGAUUAAAUAACUUGAUAAUUCAGUACAGUUAAUUUUAAUAUCCAUGUACUAAAAUAAAUAAAUAAAUUUCUUUUCUACAAAAUUGUUUCUUAAUAAACCUAUUAAGGUAUUUAUUUAAAACAAUAAUGAUGAAUGUAUUUGUUUUGAGUGUUUCAUUAUCAA